CUGGGUUUGACAUGCACAGGACGCCGGUAGAGAUAUCGGUUCCCUUGUGGCCUGUGUGCAGGUGGUGCAUGGCUGUCGUCAGCUCGUGUCGUGAGAUGUUGGGUUAAGUCCCGCAACGAGCGCAACCCUUGUCUCAUGUUGCCAGCACGUUAUGGUGGGGACUCGUGAGAGACUGCCGGGGUCAACUCGGAGGAAGGUGGGGAUGACGUCAGGUCAUCAUGCCCCUUAUGUCCAGGGCUUCACACAUGCUACAAUGGCCGGUACAAAGGGCUGCGAUGCCGUGAGGUGGAGCGAAUCCUUGUAAAGCCGGUCUCAGUUCGGAUCG
rnacentral:rRNA from 1 species